UACGAGUGCUUCGAGCGUUAUCCGGAAUCAUUGGGCGUAAAGGGUGUGUAGGCGGCGAUGUUAGUCUCGCGUUAAAUUCUCCGGCUCAACCGGGGAGCUGCGUGGGAAACGGCAUUGCUUGAGGACGGAAGAGGUCUCUGGAACUCUAGGUGUAGCGGUGAAAUGCGUUGAUAUCUAGGGGAACACCAAAAGCGAAGGCAAGAGACUGGUCCGCUCCUGGACGACUGAACACAGAAGCGGUGGCGA
rnacentral:rRNA from 1 species